rnacentral:rRNA from 1 species
CCUACGGGAGGCAGCAGUGGGGAAUCUUGCGCAAUGGGCGAAAGCCUGACGCAGCCAUGCCGCGUGAAUGAUGAAGGUCUUAGGAUUGUAAAAUUCUUUCACCGGGGACGAUAACGACGGUACCCGGAGAAGAAGCCCCGGCUAACUUCGUGCCAGCAGCCGCGGUAAUACGAAGGGGGCUAGCGUUGCUCGGAAUUACUGGGCGUAAAGGGAGCGUAGGCGGAUAGUUUAGUCAGAGGUGAAAGCCCAGGGCUCAACCUUGGAAUUGCCCUUGAUACUGGCUAUCUUGAGUACGGAAGAGGUAUGUGGAACUCCGAGUGUAGAGGUGAAAUUCGUAGAUAUUCGGAAGAACACCAGUGGCGAAGGCGACAUACUGGUCCGUUACUGACGCUGAGGCUCGAAAGCGUGGGGAGCAAACAGGAUUAGAUACCCUGGUAGUCCACGCUGUAAACGAUGAGUGCUAGUUGUCGGCAUGCAUGCAUGUCGGUGACGCAGCUAACGCAUUAAGCACUCCGCCUGGGGGAGGUACGGUCGCGAGAAGUAAACUAACUAAAGAAGUUAGAGCGUUGAGAGNGCGAGCGACACGAGGAGAGG